UGCGCCGUUGGGCCGACGACGGGCGGGCGAGGGUCUGCAUCCGGGUCGCCGCCGUGCCCAUUGUCUGGGGAGGGGGUCCGGGGCUCAGCGCUCUGCACCCGACGGGCUGAGCGGCGCCGCGCUGCCGCCGCCUGGACGCUUUCCCGUUCGCCGCCGCUCACCUGCGCAGCCUUUAUGGACCGCAGCUCGAAGAGGAGACAAGUGAAGCCUCUGGCGGCUUCCCUGCUGGAAGCUUUAGAUUAUGAUAGCUCUGAUGACAGUGAUUUUAAAGUUGGAGAUGCUUCAGAUUCUGAAGGAAGUGGUCAUGGAAGUGAAGAUGCAUCAAAGGACAGUGGAGAAGGUUCCUGUACUGAAUCAGAAGAAAAUAUUUUGGAGGAGGAGCCAGCAGAAGAGAAGGCAGAAGAGCAACAGCCAAAGAGCUCCACUGAAGAAAUGCCAACAGCAGACAAAGACGUAAUUAAAACUGAAAAGAAGGAGCAAGAAGAUGAAGAAGAGAAGCCAAAAAAGAAGAAAGAAAAAGAGAAAGCAGCUGAAACUGAUCCUGUGGCUGAUGAACAAGCAAGUGAACCAAAAAAAUGGAAUUUGCGAAGGAACAGACCGUUAUUGGACUUUGUGUCAAUGGAAGAGCUAAAUGAUAUGGAUGAUUAUGAUAGUGAAGAUGACAAUGACUGGCGGCCUACUCCUGAGAAGAAAAAAGGAAAAAAUGCACUGCGAAAAGAAGGGAGUGAUGGAGAUAAUGAGGAUGAUGAAGAUGAUGGGAGUGGAAGUGAUGAGGAUGACAAUGAUGAGGAAGGUAACGAAGAAGAUAAUAGCAGCACAGCUAGUGAUGGAGGAUCCAAGAAAAAGAAGAGUAAAGUUCUUAACAGAAAUAAUGCAGAUGAUGAGGAACUGACAAAUGAUAGCCUGGCUCUUUCACAAAGCAAGAGUAAUGAGGACUCCUUGAUCCUUGAGAAGUCCCAAAAUUGGAGUUCCCAGAAAAUGGACCAUAUUUUGAUUUGUUGCGUUUGUCUUGGAGAUAACAGUGAAGAUGCUGAUGAAAUAAUCCAGUGUGACAACUGUGGAAUAACAGUGCAUGAAGGUUGCUAUGGUGUUGAUGGAGAGAGUGAUUCUAUCAUGAGCUCGGCUUCAGAAAAUUCCACUGAACCCUGGUUUUGCGAUGCAUGCAAAUGUGGUGUCACACCUAGUUGUGAACUAUGUCCUAACCAAGAUGGGAUCUUCAAGGAGACAGAUGCAGGCAGGUGGGUCCAUAUUGUUUGUGCCCUCUAUGUUCCAGGAGUGGCAUUUGGAGAUAUUGACAAAUUGCGGCCAGUAACACUUACAGAAAUGAAUUAUUCAAAGUAUGGUGCCAAGGAAUGUAGUUUUUGUGAAGAUCCUCGUUUUGCCAGAACUGGAGUAUGCAUCAGUUGCGAUGCUGGGAUGUGCAGAGCUUAUUUCCAUGUGACCUGUGCUCAGAAGGAAGGCCUCCUUUCAGAAGCAGCAGCAGAAGAGGAUAUAGCUGACCCUUUUUUUGCUUAUUGUAAACAGCAUGCGGACAGGUUAGACCGAAAAUGGAAACGGAAAAAUUACUUGGCAUUACAGUCUUACUGUAAAAUGUCCUUGCAGGAGAGAGAAAAACAGCUCUCGCCAGAAGCUCAGGCUCGAAUCAAUGCCAGACUACAGCAGUAUCGUGCCAAGGCAGAGCUGGCUCGUACCACCAGGCCACAGGCCUGGGUUCCCAGGGAGAAGCUACCACGGCCACUCACUAGCAGUGCUUCAGCCAUUCGCAAGCUUAUGCGCAAAGCUGAAUUAAUGGGAAUUAGUACAGACAUUUUUCCAGUUGAUACUUCAGAUACUAGUUCCAGUGUUGAUGGAAGAAGAAAGCAUAAACAACCAGCCCUCACUGCUGAUUUUGUCAAUUACUACCUUGAGAGAAAUAUGCGCAUGAUUCAAAUCCAGGAGAAUAUGGCUGAGCAGAGGAAUAUCAAGGACAAAUUAGAAAACGAGCAAGAAAAGCUUCAUGUGGAGUAUAAUAAGCUUUGUGAAUCUUUGGAAGAACUACAAAAUAUGAAUGGAAAACUACGAAAUGAGGGGCAAGGCAUUUGGGCUCUGCUGGGUAGAAUCAUUGGACAGAAAUUGAACAUACCUGCAAUUUUACGUGCUCCUAAGGAAAGAAAGCCAAGUAAAAAGGAAGGAGGAACACAAAAGGCAUCUACGCUUCCAGCUGUACUUUAUAGUUGUGGAAUUUGCAAGAAGAACCAUGAUCAGCACCUGCUGUUACUGUGUGACACUUGUAAACUCCAUUAUCAUCUUGGUUGUCUGGAUCCACCUCUUACAAGGAUGCCCAGGAAGACCAAAAACAGUUACUGGCAGUGCUCAGAGUGUGACCAGGCAGGUAGCAGUGACAUGGAAGCUGAUAUUGCCAUGGAAACCUUACCAGAUGGGACCAAAAGAUCACGGAGGCAGAUUAAGGAACCAGUGAAAUUUGUUCCUCAGGAUGUGCCACCAGAACCGAAGAAAAUUCCAAUCAGAAAUACGAGAACUAGAGGACGAAAACGAAGCUUUGUGCCAGAUGAAGAAAAACCUGAGGAACGGAUUCCCAGAGAAAGAAGACAACGGCAGUCUGUUUUGCAAAAGAAGCCCAAAUCAGAAGACUUAAGGACUGAGUGUGCUACAUGCAAAGGGACUGGAGACAAUGAAAAUCUAGUCAGGUCAGAAAGUGGAACGUAGGGACAAGAAGAAAGCAAAAGAUGAGAAUGGGACAGAAGUGAAAUGUGAGAAGUCGCAGGAAAAUGUUUUAAUACCCUUCAUGAGACACAACUCUGCCACAACUCAUCCUCGGAGGCAAUCCUGGAAACCUCUUUUAUAAAUAUGAUUUUUAAAUGUGGAUUAAGCAGUCAAUAGAGUACCUAAAGUAAAGGAGAACAGCUACCUUGUCUCUACUAUAAGCUUAUUAUGACAAAAAGUUGAGUUUGCUUGUCAGGCUUGGAUAGAAUGUAAUUGAUUGGUUUGUUAUUUGGACUGACAAGGUAGUUAAUUUGCCUGCUUUUUUUUUAGCACUAAUCAGGAACAUUUCUUAUGUGCAUUGUUAAAAGAUCACGGAUAAAUGUCUUGUCAGAAUUGUCCUAUUAAAUAAUGUCUUUUUCCCCUGUGCUUCCUUGGUAAAUGAUGUUAUACAAUGCUUGAAUUCACUGAAGAGUGACAGAAGCCUGUGGGACUGAAAUACUAUGUGUUCCUCUAUGGUAAUACUGAAUGAAACAAGGUUCGCCAUCAACCUGCUGCUCUGCUUAUAUACAGUUUGAAGAGAACAUUUCUAUAUAGAACAUCAUGUUGUACAUAGACCCUACUAUAAAAAGGAUUCUUUCCUUUUAAAAAGAAAAAAAAAAUGUUCAGUGAUAAUGAGACCUGUAAAACACUUGAGACUUACUAUUCUUAAGGAAUAGAUUUGCCACGGAAAAAAUGGACUAAUCGUUUCUGACUUCAGAUACUUGAGUGAAUAGAACUAUACCUAUAUUGCAUUAUGGAACAUUUUUAAGAAAGAGAAAAUAUUAAGGAAAUGCAGAUAUUGUUUUAUUUGGCUCACUUCCCUGACUGUGUUCAGAACAAGCUUAUUUCAUCAAAAUCCAAAUCUGAAAUUGUUGUGUAAGUUGGGGAAGGAAUGAAGAACUGAUCACACAGUGUGACUGCUGAGAUCUCCGUCUUCGUCCAUAUAUAUCCUGCUAGAUGCAGACAUAGUAUUUUCAUCUUCAAACAGUACCGGUCCAGUUCUAAAAUCUACUGUAGCAAUGUAUUGACAGCCUCAUCGAUCUCAUCUUGAACUUGCUUGGAAAAAUUCUGCUCAAAGGCAAUCAAACCUGUAACUUGAUGGCAUAUAUCUUUGAAUUUCUUGAGAUAUGGUGAUUUUUGUCAUCUCGGAAGGCACAUUUCCAUCUGAAAAUAUUUUUUAAACAUAAGAAAGAAAUUAAAUGCUGUAAUAAGUAAUAGGAGAAAUAUAUAAACCUGUGUAUACUUACUUCAAGUCAUCUCUUGCUAGGGCAUUUCAUGUUUGAAUAUUAUAUUGAAUAAAAUUAACCUGAUGUCUAA